AGCCCGCCGCCGCCGUUGUCGGCGCCGCCAAGCAAACCCUAGGUUUCCGCCCAAAACCGGGUCGGGCACGGUCGCGAACCGGGGUUUGGGAGGGCGCAGCUAAGUGCAACCUUCACCUCGCAAGAGGAUUGUUCCCAGCCUGGUUGCAAACUCGUUAAACCCCUCACAGUUCAUCUCGGGAGGAGAGGCCAAUCAAAGGCAGUGUUAUCAUCAAAAUUGACGAGAAUGCAGCCGAUGAGACGAGGAAAAAACAAUCUGUGGCUCUGACAACAGAAUGGUUGAGUAUAUUAGAUCCAAAAACAAUAAUGCAUGUCUUGUGUCACAUGAACGAUCGAGUAGCGAAUCAGCUAUUGAAAUGAAUAUUUCAAAUAGAAACAGACGACGAAAAAGAAGGACGACUGAGCUUGUGUCAUUGAUUUGGAACAGAUAAUUAGUAGUGCAUUAUUAUUUUGGAUAUCAUAGAGAAAAAUUAUGUUGGGUUGCUGGUAAUUGCAGUAGGAGAAAUUUUCCCAUUGAGGUUGUCACUGUCUUUGCAGCUGAAAUUAGCAAUUUAUCAUCCAUCAGAA